UAUGGCCACAUCACGUUGAAACACCAGGUCCCGUACAAUCACCGAAGUUAAGCAAUGUUGAGUCUAGUCAGUAUCUAGAUGGGUAACCGCUUGAGAAUGCCAAGUGUUGUAA